AAUCUACUCCCCCUAUUCCGAAUUACUCGCCGCAGAAAUGAAUGUAUCUAGAUGUAUUUUAGUUCUAGAUACAUCCACUUCUGCGACGAGUAGUUUAGAACGGAGGGAGUAGUAA
rfam:Triticum aestivum genome assembly, contig: Triticum_aestivum_CS42_TGACv1_scaffold_558293_7AL